rnacentral:rRNA from 2 species
CUAUUAUGCAGUCGAACGAACUCUGGUAAUGAUUGGUGCUUGCAUCAUGAAUUACAUUUGAGUGAGUGGCGAACUGGUGAGUAACACGUGGGAAACCUGCCCAGAAGCGGGGGAUAACACCUGGAAACAGAUGCUAAUACCGCAUAACAACUUGGACCGCAUGGUCCGAGUUUGAAAGAUGGCUUCGGCUAUCACUUUUGGAUGGUCCCGCGGCGUAUUAGCUAGAUGGUGAGGUAACGGCUCACCAUGGCAAUGAUACGUAGCCGACCUGAGAGGGUAAUCGGCCACAUUGGGACUGAGACACGGCCCAAACUCCUACGGGAGGCAGCAGUAGGGAAUCUUCCACAAUGGACGAAAGUCUGAUGGAGCAACGCCGCGUGAGUGAAGAAGGGUUUCGGCUCGUAAAACUCUGUUGUUAAAGAAGAACAUAUCUGAGAGUAACUGUUCAGGUAUUGACGGUAUUUAACCAGAAAGCCACGGCUAACUACGUGCCAGCAGCCGCGGUAAUACGUAGGUGGCAAGCGUUGUCCGGAUUUAUUGGGCGUAAAGCGAGCGCAGGCGGUUUUUUAAGUCUGAUGUGAAAGCCUUCGGCUCAACCGAAGAAGUGCAUCGGAAACUGGGAAACUUGAGUGCAGAAGAGGACAGUGGAACUCCAUGUGUAGCGGUGAAAUGCGUAGAUAUAUGGAAGAACACCAGUGGCGAAGGCGGCUGUCUGGUCUGUAACUGACGCUGAGGCUCGAAAGUAUGGGUAGCAAACAGGAUUAGAUACCCUGGUAGUCCAUACCGUAAACGAUGAAUGCUAAGUGUUGGAGGGUUUCCGCCCUUCAGUGCUGCAGCUAACGCAUUAAGCAUUCCGCCUGGGGAGUACGGCCGCAAGGCUGAAACUCAAAGGAAUUGACGGGGGCCCGCACAAGCGG